UUGAGAGAACAGGUCUUUUGAGAGAACAGGUCUUUUGAGAGAACAGGUCUUUUGAGAGAACAGGUCUUUUGAGAGAACAGGUCUUUUGAGAGAACAGGUCUUUGAGAGAACAGGUCUUUUGAGAGAACAGUCAGAGAGAGAACAGUCAGAGAUAGAGAACAGUCCGGGAGAACUGGUCUUCGGGAGAACUGGUCUUCGGGAGAACAGGUCUUUGGGAGAACAGGUCUUUGGGAGAACAGUCAGAGAGAACUGGUCUUUGAGAGAACAGGUCUUUUGAGAGAACAGGUCUUUUGAGAGAACAGGUCUUUGGGAGAACAGGUCUUUGGGAGACCAGGUCAGAGAGAGACCAGGUCAGAGAGAGACCAGGUCAGAGAGAGACCAGGUCAGAGAGAGACCAGGUCAGAGAGAGACCAGGUCAGAGAGAGACCAGGUCAGAGAGAGACCAGGUCAGAGAGAGACCAGGUCAGAGAGAGACCAGGUCUUGUGCUGCCAUCU